UGUGCAAUGGUAGAUCGAUCUCCAUAGGAAUAACAGUUUCUUUGUCAAAGGCUAGUUUGAAGGGGUUUCAUCAGUUGGUGUUCAAGGUGUGGUUCGAUACGCCCAUAAAAUAUUGUAAAACUAGUCAACCCACGGUCCUUUCGCCCAGUCUAGCCUCUUAUUCAGUCUUUGAAAAAUUGUUUGAUUUAUGACUAUGGCUUCUCCAUUUGAUUGAGAGUGUUCG
rnacentral:lncRNA from 1 species